GCAUGUCUCAGUGCACGCCUUUAUACGGUGAAACCGCGAAUGGCUCAUUAAAUCAGCUAUGGUUUACUGGACCGUACCCGUUAAAUGGAUAACUGUAAUAACUCUAGAGCUAAUACAUGCAACUAUGCCCUGAACCGAAAGGCGAGGGGUGCACUUAUUAGAUCAGAAGCCAACCGAGCACUGGCCGCAAGGCUGGUGCCCGUUUUUUUUCUGGUGACUCUGGAUAAUUGUUACAGAUCGCAGUCGGCCAUGAGUCGGCGACGGGUCCUCCAAAUGUCUGCCCUAUCAACUUUCGAUGGUAGGUGACCUGCCUACCAUGGUGAUAACGGGUAACGGGGAAUCAGGGUUCGAUUCCGGAGAGGGAGCCUGAGAAACGGCUACCACUUCCAAGGGAGGCAGCAGGCGCGCAAAUUACCCACUCCCAGCACGGGGAGGUGGUGACGAAAAAUACCGAUGCGGGACUCCCAAACGAGGCUCCGUAAUCGGAAUGAGUCAACUAUAAAUCCUUUAACGAGGAUCAAUUGGAGGGCAAGUCUGGUGCCAGCAGCCGCGGUAACUCCAGCUCCAAUAGCGUAUAUUAAAGUUGCUGCAGUUAAAAAGCUCGUAGUUGGAUCUCGGUAUCAUUGUUGCCUGCUGGCCUUAGAGGCGUUCGCCGGCCUAUCAGUGCAUGGGUGAGCCUGUGUAUUGUGUGGCUGGCAGCUUUGGGUCGGUGUGGCGGCGGUGACACCUUUUCAGCCAUGUCUGUGGUGCAAUAUCCACAGGUGUAGGCGAGUGCCAGGCGUAGCCCUGCAACUGUGGGGGUUCGUCGGCUUGUCUGCAUGCCUAUGGGAUGCCCUUCAAAAAGGUGUCUGUGGGCCGGAUGGAACGUUUUACUUUUGAACAAAUUUUGAGUGGCUCAAACCAGGGCCCGAUGCUUGCCUGAAAAAGUUUGGCAUGGGAAUAAAUGGGAAUAAGGACUUUCGGUUUCGAUUUUCCGUUGGGAUUUUCGGAAUCCGGAAGUUAAUGGAUCCAAAAAGAAGACAGGGCGGGGGAACGUUUUGUAAUGGCUUGCCCCUAGAAGGUUGA
rnacentral:rRNA from 1 species